UUGUCUCAGACUGAAAAAUAAAAGCGCUGGGUGCAAAGGGUGCAAAAAGGCCCUGGUUUCCAUCCUCAACCAGAACUGCUCAGAAGUCACCAGGACCCUGCUGGUCACCACUGGCAGGCAGUGCUGUGAGUGGCAGGGGCUGUGGGGACAGCAAGCCCACAGGAAGGCAGGGCAGAUGCAGCCCAGGCAAGCCCCACUCCACAGGCCCCGCAGGGCAGGCCCCACACCUGACCGGGCCCCAGCUCCGCCCAGCCUCCCCUCCUCUCCACCUCCCUGGCUGCCUGGCGCUCAUAAAGUUUAUUGCUGUUCCCUGUGGCUGCCGGGGAACAAGACAACAACCAUACGGAUUUCUGCCUGGGAAGGAUUUAUUCAAGUACCUCGCUCAGCGGGAGGAGGCGGGACGCUGCUGGCUGCCAGGGAGGGAGAACACCACUUCCAAGUCCUCUGCCUCGGAGUAUGGCAUGGAUACACACGGCAAACUCAGAACACCUGAGAGGGCCAGGGCCGGCGGAGCGAGCCCUAUGGGUCACCCACCCAGGCUCCCGCACGCACCCAGAUACGCAGCCACGUGGGGACACCGGUGCCUUCCCAAGGGGGAUGCCAGCCAGCCCAGUGUGGAGACGGGAUCCCCACGGUGGGAACCUCGGCCCAGAGACCCUCCCUCCUGCACUGGGGCCUGGCGAAAGCUGGGCGAGGUGGCCGUGGAUCCCCCAGGGGGCGCUCACCAGGCUCCUCCUGGGGGGAGCACGGAAGGACGGGGUCCUGUCUCUCAGGGCCCCCACCUGUUGGCAUCGGAGCAGGUAUCUGUGGAAUGCCGGUGGAGAAGUCUGCCCAGGAGGCUGGGCGGAAAGGUCAGCUGACACAGGGAAGGGCUGGCAGGGCGGCUGACCAGCUGCUGGCUGGGUGCUGCCUGCUGCGGGCGGGGAGGAGUGGUCUUAAGGGGAGAACUCAGCUCAGCUGGUGGGAGCCAGGCUGCAGCGCCAGGGCACACUGCCUCGAGGUCCCUGGUUUUGUGAUUUGUGUUUUUCUGUAUGGAGUAUGGCGCUCAGGGCCUUGCUCGUGCUGAGUGCAUGCUCUACCCCUGAUCCUCACCCUGCCCUCCCUGGUUCCUUUGUUCCUUCCUGAGUCCUGUUCAGGAGGAAAAAGGCAAAGCCACUCAGCCACCUGCCCACUGACCGCGUAUUAUGAGCUCUGCCGAGGGCCAGGCCCUCAGAGGCAGGGCACACGAUUACGGGGUCAGCCACAAAUCCAAUGUGAGUGUGUGUGGGCAGGGCAUGGGGUGCAGGAGGGGCCCCCUGAGCUGGGGAAGCGGGUGGCGGGCUCUAGGUGGAGACAAACAAAGGCCCAGGCCGGGAGGCUGAGGCUGUGGGGAGGAGCAGCAGGGAGAGGGGCGGCCUGGCCCCACCUGGGCUUCCGGCAGGAGCUGGGCUGCCUUCAGCUGAGAGCCACAUUGCACAGAGCUUGGCACGGGCUCUGCUCUGGAUAGAGGUGGCUGUUGGGCCAGAAGAGCUGGCAGGGCGGGCAGGAAGGGGUGGCUGGGUGACUUCCGGUGACCAUGCAGGUGGGGACAGCAGCGUAGGGCCUGAGUGACCCUGGAGCAGCCUCAGGAAGGUCUGAGGCCAGCUCUUCCGUUGGCUCAAGACACCCUGGGUGCUGGGCCCCUGUCCCUUCUGCCUCUGCGUGUGUCAUCCACCUGGGAGCUCAGCCACAGCCCAGGGGCCCUCAGGCCACUGGCCCUGGCCUCUCCAGCAUGGCUCCCGUGGGCGGGCACCGAGGCCCAGCGCUUCCCGUCCUGCUGGGCACCACACAGCACGCAUUCCUCCCCUCCCUGCCCAGCACACGGUGCCCUGGCAGUGGCCGGACAGGAACCCAGGUCCCCUGGCCCUGGCUGCUGGCUGGGUUUGCCCCUGCAGUGCCCUCUGUGUCCCUAGGGGCCUGGCCUGGCAGGAUGGGCUCCCAGAAAGUGGGGUGCCUCCUGCCUGGCCACCCUCCCUCCCCAACUCAAGGAAUCCUCGGCUGACAGUCAUGGGCCUCCCGCACCCAGGUGUUUGGUGCUGCUCCACAGCAGGAAUCCUGGGGCCCCCCACAGUGGCUUGGGGUUCCUUGCACACCCCCACCUGGCCAGGCCUCCCUGCUCCCGGAGCCUCUGUCCCUCCAACGCCUGUAUGCAGUUGUGGUCUUGCUUGGGCAACCCGCUCCCUGCGUACCUGGUUUCCAGACCUGCUUUCCCCAGCCUUCCCUCCACCCUGCCACCCCACCUUCCUCUCCUUCUGGGCUGCACCGUGGUCCCCUUCUGGAACCCUGGAGCCACCCAGGGUAGAGUGGGGGCCCUGAGGGUCCACAGGGGAAAGGACCUCCUGACUGGGCCAGGUGGCCACAGCUGGCUGUGCCGGGACAGAGCCCGGGACUCGGGAGGGCCAGCCGGGCUCGAUCUCUUACUGUUACAGAGGCCCGGCCGUGCACGGACUUGUUACUCGUCCAUUUAUUUAGCAGCAUCUUUGAGCCCCAAAUAUGUGACAGAGACACAGCGGUCACAAAACACCCUGGAGGUGGCAGUCGGCUUUCUGUUAUGCAAUCAAAUAGGUCGCUCUGCCUGUGUCCCCCUCUGUGGCCGAGCUCCUGGGAGCCGCCUCUGCCAGCCCAUGGCUCCUGCUGGCUGCCACCAAUGCUGCUGACUUUUCUGUGCCAAUAAAAGCCCCUCUCCCGCUGCCGGGCUCCCCUCUCCCACACCCAGCUCGGUGCCCACCCCUGCCCCUCCCCCUGCCGCCCGGGAAGCCGCCUGAGACACCAGGUGAGACGCCCAAGCUGCCUUGGAGAGAGCCCUGGAGCCCUCUGGCCUGCAGAUCUCCCAGGGCCGCGUCUGCGUCCCCAGGCCUGAGCUGGCCCCAGCCAACCCACUGGCAGCCUCUGGUCCAGGGCUGGGAGCCCCCCAGGGUGCCUGUCAGGGGGCCACAGGACUUGCUCUCCUCGCCUGCGAAGCAGCCCGGACUGUAUCACUCAGGUCUCAGGUGCCGAAAGUCUGCGCCUGGACACUCACUUGGGCUGAACAUGGUGCCUGCAAGUCCUGAUGCUCCCUGCAGCCUCCGCAGGCCACGAUCGCCUUCAUCUUUCAGCAGAGGAAACCGAGGCAGAGAGCGGCCUACUCACAGCUGGCCUGUGGCAGAGCUGACCUUUGGACCGAGUCCUCCCUGCUCCUUAGGACUGGGACCCACACAGUCGGGCAGCCCCAGCCGACCUUGGCUUGUUCUGGCCCAGGCAGGCUGCAUGGCCAGCACAGACCGGGUCUGGGUGCUGGGCAGGGAGCAGUUUCUGCAGCAACUCUGGGUUCCUGUCCACCUCUCCCACUCACAUCUGGCCGAGGCCCCAAGGGCCGCACAGGGCAGGGGACACAGAGGACCUGGGUGUGCGGCUCCCCUCUGAGACGGCAGUCCGGAUAGUGGGUGCUGCUGGAUUUUUAACCCAUGAAAGACGUCCGUGGGAGCCCUGAUCCCCAGAUGGGCACCUUCCGUGCUGCAACGCAUCUCCUUUGCCCCUAACAGCCCCUGUGUCAAAUUAUGAGGCCUUGGGUGGCAGCGGCCGAGGAAGGGGCCAGCGGGUUACUUGUCCUGUUGGCGGGGAGGUCCAGGCUGCCACAAGGAUCCCCUGCUCCCACCUGGGUUUUAACAGCUUUGCCGGCUCCAUGGAAACCGCAGGACCUGGGAGCGGCAGAGCCCAGCAGCCCUGCCCUCCCUUCUCACUUGACUGCAGGAUUGGCGGCAUCCUGCCUGGAAAGACCCUCCUGCAGUGGCCACAGCAAGAGCUGGGCUUGAACCCGUGGCCCAUGAAGGCCGGCUCCUCUUGCUGCAGCAGCUGCUGGACUGUGGGUGAGCUCCUACUUCGUGCCCAAGCCAGGCCUCCGUUUCCUCAUCUGCAACCAGGGCUGACUUCCCUGGGUGGUGGUGAGCUCCCUAUGGCAUUGUGCAAGCAAGAAGCCUCUGACAUGGCGCCUGACACAGCGCCCCCCCAGCUCCUGUUACUGUGAUGGAAGACGGUGGAGGAAAUCAAAUCAGGCCUGGGCUUGGGGCCUUGUGGGGAAGACAUGGGCCCGGGUGACCUCAGCUGAGUCCUCGUAGCUGUGGCGACUGGAAAGCAAACUAAACAUGAGCUGCUCCUUCCAGCUGAAUUCGGCCUCAGUGAGGGACGCCAUGGGGGACAUUUACUCCCUGGACUCUGACUAAAUGGGGUCCUGUGUUUGCUUGUCGGGCGGCAGCCCCAGCCUCACUGUCCAACAGGAGCCCAAUGUGCCUGCAGGACUCUCGGUGCCCGUGGGGAGGAUCUGGAGGCCCUGGCUCCUCUUCCCGAGCUCAGACUCUAGGCAUCUGGCACCUCAUCUGAGGAACAGCGGGUGGGACACAGCGCCUUGUCCUCCAUCGGCCCUUGCUGAGUCUUGAGCCUCUCAGUACCAGGCUCGGAUCUGGGUGCAAAUGCUGCGCAGGGGCGGGAACUGACAAGCCCUGGAUGUCGGCAUACAGCACCCCAAUGUCAUGGACAGGAGCGAAUCCCACUCUACACACUUUGUGCCGUGCAAAAUGAAAUGGUGGGGCUCUUGUUCAAGACGCAUGGAGAACUUCAAGAUGGCAAUGGCAGGCAUGAGCAAGCACGGGGUCAGCGGUCGCCUCCCCCACCCUCCGCCGCGUCCCCACGGCACCCUGGCCGCACGGCCGCUUCGGUGUUUGUGCCGUGGUGAGUCCUGAGACCGGACGUUGUGUUCGCUUCCUUCCGGCCUCCACCGUCCACAGAACCCGCUAGGUACCGGGCGCCGUGCUGGCCUUUGGGGGGUGGAAAAAGGAGUCAGGGGGCGAGGGCCACUCUAGUGAGGAGGAAAGUCAAGGAAGAGGGUGGCAUGGCACCUGGGGAGCAGAGAAGCUGCAGGGGAGGCAUAGAGGCAGUGGGGAGAGACUCAGUGCGAGGGGGCUGUUAAAUCCUGGGGAAGCUGAGGUCUGUCUCCUGUGCUGGGAAGUCAGUGGACAAAACCCGAAGUGGAAAGAUCGCCAGCUUCAAUCUGUAGGAUGGUAGCAGAGGUAAGUGAAAGCAGGGCCGAGAGGGGCAGGGGACAGCUGGUUGCUCUUCCUAAGGAACAAAGGACUAUUUGACUUCUAAAAAUGUGUCCGUGGGUCCCAGGCACGGUGGCACACACUUGUCAUCCCAGCACUCUGGGAGGCUGAAGC